UCAACUGUUCUAAACUACCAGAGUCCUGCAACGGGUCUUUUCCCCACCAAAACAGUUGGUGAUAGUAAUUAUGCCAAAGUUCGAGAUUGCCUUUAUUGUGCUGCCAGCGCAUGGGCUGUAGCACUCGCUUAUAGUACUCCUAUGAGGCAGCUCUGUGGUUUCAGAAUUCUUGGUGGAAGACUACUGAUCUUGAAUUGAGGAGAUUGCGGAUGGCCUUGGAAGGUGACCUCAAGCAA